CCCCUUUUAUAUAGAAAAGAUAGUUGUAACCGUCGGAUAUGGACCCGCAUUUUAUGACGUAGAAUCAUUGGACUAUAAUCUCAUAGUGGAUUAUUAAUUCUCAUGGAUUACACCGCGAUAUUUGAGAGAUAACCAUCCAUGACGGUUAUGAUAUGUUGAGUGAGUUGAUCGAUUAUGCGUCGGAGGUCGAUCGUCGGUUAGCAGCUCUAAAAUAUCGAUGGUCAAAGUAGUCCACUAUUUGUGGUGUUCGAACAUCGAUCGCUUACCGAUCUUGAGUUGGUGAGGUGUGUUCGAUUGGUCGAUUGAGAGUAGUAUCGGCCUGCUUGGUCGAUACUCGGUCGGUAGUCGCUUUCAGGGUCAUCUCUAUUUGUCG
rnacentral:lncRNA from 1 species